rnacentral:rRNA from 1 species
UACGGAGGGUGCAAGCGUUGUCCGGAUUUAUUGGGUUUAAAGGGUGCGUAGGCGGCCCUGUAAGUCAGUGGUGAAAUACUGCAGCUUAACUGUAGCAUUGCCAUUGAUACUGCAGGGCUUGAGUACAGAUGAGGUAGGCGGAAUUGAUGGUGUAGCGGUGAAAUGCAUAGAUACCAUCAAGAACACCGAUUGCGAAGGCAGCUUACUAAGCUG